UAUCAAUCGCUUAUUUUCUCUCAGCAGCUCUUCACCUCAUCACCAGUGACGCCCUUUUCAAGCUGUAAUUGUCUUGAUCUGUUUCUCGCACUUCCGAGUCCCCUCGUAUUAUCGACCGAGUUGACUCGACUUUACUCUUCGCUUUUCUUAAAUUCUCUCUCUUUGAGCUUGAAGCUUGAAUCUCCGCCAUGAAUGAUGGCAUGGAUCGGACUCGCGCUUUUUUCAAAGACGUUAAGCGUCUUGUCAUCAAGGUUGGGACUGCUGUUGUGACUAGAAGCGAUGGGAGAUUGGCCCUUGGGAAACUAGGAGCUCUUUGUGAGCAGAUUAAAGAGUUGAACUCUGAAGGUUAUGAAGUUAUUUUGGUGUCAUCAGGUGCCGUUGGCAUUGGUCGCCAGAGGCUAAGAUACCGGAAAUUAGUCAAUAGCAGCUU
rnacentral:misc_RNA from 1 species